rnacentral:rRNA from 1 species
UACGGGGGGGGCAAGCGUUGUUCGGAAUUACUGGGCGUAAAGGGCGCGUAGGCGGUCAGACCAAGUCGCGUGUGAAAUGCCAGGGCUUAACUCUGGCACGCUCGCGCGAUACUGGUCGGCUAGAGUGUGGAAGAGGAUGCUGGAAUUCCCGGUGUAGCGGUGAAAUGCGUAGAUAUCGGAAGGAACACCAGUGGCGAAGGCGGCUACCUGGACUGACACUGACGCUGAGAGACGAAAGCUAGGGGAGCGAAUGGG